CCCAGCAGUAGAACCAUAUUUGGAUGUCGGAUGCAGCAUAAUAUUUCAACCUGUGUAUGGGAGAUGAUACAAUAAAAAUGUUACACAUAUACACCUAUAUGACUCGAUGUGCUAAUUGCUGCAUUUUGCAUAGAUAGUGCUUGCUCUGAAUCAUCUGGACGCAGAACCUUAAUGGCAACGGGCGUAUGAUCCAGAUAACCUCUGUAAACAGGUCCAUAACCACCUUCUCCAAUUUUCCUGUCCUGUGCAUAAUGCGUUGCAGCUCCAUUGCCUGCAGCAAAGGCAUCGUCUGAAAACAAGUUCAAUCUUUGUGACAGCAAUGGAUAAAUUACCUUCUGUUUAGCUGUCAGUGCUUCUCU